CAAAAUCUCAGGGCUGCUUCGGAUUGGCCACGCUGCUCACGUGGCGCUGUGUCUGCCUCCUGAGGAGCUGAACUCAGCCUGGAAUGAGUUUCCAGGGUGAAUAAGAACAUCACAUUUGAUUUCCACUAAUGUGCUAUAACACUGCUUAAAAUUCACGUCUCCCCGACGGACGGAUCCAUCCAUCUAUCUGUCUAUCUAUCUAAUUUUGUUUCUAGAGCACCCAUCACUGCUCUGUCUAAUUAUUAAUUCAUCCACUGGAGUGGUUGCUGUGAGCUCACAUCAAAGGCAUGUAGAAACAACCGGAGUCAAUCAGCUGAACAAUGCAAACAGAUCUUGUCUGCAGUCUGCUGGCCAAGAUGCUUCCCCUCAUCUAACCCUAUAGGGCUGGAAACCUUUAUGUGGGAUGGUUUUUUAUUCCAAGUGCCGAACCACUUUCACAAAUCCAAAAAGGACAGAGGGAUGAGAAGAGGUGGGAGUGGAGAUUUGCUCCGGGGUGAUGAAGCUGUGCUGGAAAAGGGCUCAGGUGGGAAGAGACCCAUGGAGGGCUGUUGCCCAACAGGAGAAGGCUCUCACAGCACCGUAGUGUUCUCCUUCAAGCACAAGCACUGCCACGGUCCCACCUCUGCACGCAUCCUGACUCCUGUUUGAAUGGAGGUGUCUGCAGUUGCUGGCAAUAACACGGGACAUUAGGCUGCUGAUGACUUUGCAUAACAAGAGGAUUGCAAUUAACAUGACGAUUCCUUGUGUUCGAGCACGUUGGCAUGGGUCAUGAAGUCGGUGUAACAGAGCGAUCCAAAGGGAGCUAUUUAUCUGGCUGUGAAGGAGCUGCAUUCCUGCUUGCUGCUGCAAUGUCAGCCAUUGCCAUCUCAUGCCCACGUGCCACCAAGGGGACACGGUCUUGAUCUGCACACACAGUGCUCCCAGUCUGACACCCACCCAAUGCUGUCACCUCCUGCCUUGGAAAAGCCAGGCUCUCUGCCCAUAUGUUUGCCAUCACAUCUGCACAGACCUGCACGCCCAGCACCACACAGCCGGGCUGUGUGCCACCAUCUGCCAGCUACCACAACGGAACCGAUGGCUCUGCACUCCCCUCUCCACCACCUCUCCUUCUGUGGCUGUAAUGAGUGGCCAGUAACAAAUGAGCAGUGUUUAUCAUGACUCUGCGGUUAAGCAGCUCGUGGUAAUUAAUGGAGGCACACCUGAAGGUCUGCUGGCAAGUCCCCAGGGCUCCUGCUGUGCCAUAGGAGAAGAGAUGCCCCAUCACAGCAGUGCUCCCUUGGGUGUCUGGAUGGAGGUGCACCUCUCUGGGUCUUCCCAUUGCCCAUCCUUCCUUCUUCCACUUCCCAUGAGUGUUACAAGGACCGUGUAGCAUGGAAAAGUGGAAGAAUGAAGGAUAGGAAGACCCAAGACUCUUCACGUAUCUCAUUCCAAGCCCGAUGAAUGCAGGGCUUUAAAGACUUAUCGCAUGCUGCUGCACAGUCCUAUCUUUCUGUUUCUUCAGCCCAUGAUUUUUUCCCCAAGCUGUGCGUUGCAUAGCCAAUACAACCCAUACCUUGCUUUGCAUAACUCCAAAUCAUUUCAUUAAUGAAAAAAAAACAACCCGAGCCAUUAUAAAGCAAAUAUACAAAAUACGAACAGCUAAUCUUUCCCUUAUACUGCAAGGAUUAAAUAAGCAGAACUAUCAGCAGAAAGUAUUCCAGACACGUUGGGCUGCCGUAAAAUUUAAGAGGUGAACAGUUAAUUUACAUAUUCCCCAAAUGCAAUAGGGUGACACUUUUGAAAUUAAAAACUGACGAUACAAAUGGC
ensembl:lncRNA